rnacentral:ncRNA from 1 species
AGACAGGUUAGUUUUUCCCCUACUGAUGAAGCGUUGUUGCCACAGUAAUCCUGCUCAGUACGAGAGGAACCGCAGAUUCAGACAUUUGGUUCAUGUGCUUGGCUGAUAAGCCAAUGGUGCGAAGCUACCAUCUGAGGGAUUAUGACUGAACGCCUCUAAGUCAGAAUCCCGCCUGGAAAGCGACGAUGCAUUCGUGCCUCGGCCUCGAGAGGCGUAGCUAGACGGCCGCGUGGCCGUGGAAAGAGCCCGAUUCCGACCCGAGAGGCCGCGGCAAGAGGCGGCCUCGAAGUCGGUGGAUCCUCCUGCUCGAAAGGCGGGGUGCUAAACCAUUCGCAGACGACCUAGUUGAAGAUCGGGGUGUCGUGAUCACUAGAGCAGUACAUCUCACUGCGAUUUGUUGAGAGUAAGCCUCAAGAUCUGUCGGUUUGU